CGCCAACCUCCCAGGGCCUGGAAGUGCCUGAACUGCUCCCCAAACAACCGACCGCCGAUCCUGCGUUCCAGGUACACAGUGUGACCCUCAUUCAGCCUGGGAAGACAUUGAUGAAGUCAGCACUGGGAGGAUGAGGUUGCUCUCCACUACCCUUCUUUCCAGCCUGGCUAUGCAGGAGCACAAAAAGUAGUUUUAGGAAUGCCGAACAAAGACCAGUAAGCACCACCAGCACCAGCACUUACUGGUUGCCUUCUCAGAGCUGGAGUUCCAUAAUGCCUCACAUUUCUGGAGUGGCAAAGACCUAGGUGAGUCCCAUGAUGUACCCAAGCCGUACCUGAGGUGCUUGUGAGCUGCACAGGUCAGGAAGCAGACCCUGUGCAGCCUGUCCCAGCCCGAGCACUUACGUUCUGGCUGAAGCGGUAAACCUUGUGAGCGCUGUCCUCUGGGUCGGGCGCCUCGCCGUCGCGGUUCGCGCUCAUCAGAGCCACCAGCUCCUUGGGGACAGAAAUCUGAAAGGACACCCAGCCGUGAGCACUCAGCACUACACUCCCUACUACAAACAGCUGAUAACAAAGAGCAGCCCGGAUUUGUUCUGCUGUUAGGUCAUCUCUGUCAAGUAGAACAUACGGCAUAUGGAAAAUGUUGUCAUGAAUUCAGGCAAUAUUGGAUUAAUCAGAGGAGUACCUCCAACAGAAGUUAAAAGGUUCACUUCCUUCAGACAACUGAAUUGUAAUGUCACAGUGCACAUCUAUCUUGCUUUUUGCUUCUUAAAACUAUUUACACCAGGACUGCAAAUAACCCCUAGCUAUACAACAGAAUAUAUUACUUAUGGCAUACAUAAGAGCCUUUUCAAGUGUUUUUUACUCCACUGCACGCUUUGCUGUCUUACUGUCAGCUUUUCCUGAUUUUAGAGCAUCUAUCUUUCUUACUACUGCAUUUUUACUUCCUUUUGCAAAUAGAUACAUAACAAUGAAAAAAGAGUUGGCAUAUACAAAAAGGAAAUGGUAAAGUUAGAGAACUGCCACAGGGAAGAUCAGCUCUUUCCUCUCACAUUAAGCUGAAAGUUAACAUUCUGGUUUUAUACUAGGCCAGAUGCUAGCAGCUACCAAAAAACCCUGGCCAAUAUAAAUUCACCCACUGCAGCAAUUGUCUUCAGUUAAGACACAUGAUUUAGGUUCAUCUACCUCUGCAUAGUAGGUCAGUUUCACAGCAGGUGUGUCUUGGCAUGGAAAAAUGGCUCUGCAGUGGAUAGCCUAGAGAGGGAGAAAGGAAAAGAAGAUAAAACAAAACAAAACAAAACGUCUUUCUAAUGCAGAUGACUAAAAAUAAAUCAAUUAAUAUACUAUAGUGCAAGUCUCUACAGCUCCUCUAGAGAAUCCAUUAUCUAUAAUCCAGUACUUCUAUCACUUAGAGCUUACAGGCCUUUAUAAAAGGAACAAUACUGGGUAAGGCAGAUCAACAGACACAAGUAUUAGUUGAAAAGGGCCAUAUGCUCUUCAACAAGGAUACUGAAGUGGCUAAAGCAGUUCCAGAAUUACCAAACUGUAAACAUAUAAUAAAAUCUCAACGACAUCCUGACAUUAAGUGUUUUCAUUUAGGACCUUUGACACACAGCUAGAAGUUACAGGCUACUGCUCUUCCCCUUUCUAGCCUUUCUCUCCAGUUCUUUAGAAACCAAGGGAAAUUACAGUGGUAUGUCAAGAAGUUUGGAAAAAAUGAACUCAACCUGGCA